rnacentral:rRNA from 1 species
GUGGGGAAUAUUGCACAAUGGGCGAAAGCCUGAUGCAGCAACGCCGCGUGAGGGACGACGGCCUUCGGGUUGUAAACCUCUUUUAGUAGGGAAGAAGCGAAAGUGACGGUACCUGCAGAAAAAGAACCGGCUAACUACGUGCCAGCAGCCGCGGUAAUACGUAGGGUGCAAGCGUUAUCCGGAAUUAUUGGGCGUAAAGAGCUCGUAGGCGGUCUGUCGCGUCUGCUGUGAAAACUGGAGGCUCAACCUCCAGCCUGCAGUGGGUACGGGCAGACUAGAGUGCGGUAGGGGAGAUUGGAAUUCCUGGUGUAGCGGUGGAAUGCGCAGAUAUCAGGAGGAACACCGAUGGCGAAGGCAGAUCUCUGGGCCGUAACUGACGCUGAGGAGCGAAAGCGUGGGGAGCGAACAGGAUUAGAAACCCGUGUAGUCC